CCAGACUCCUACGGGAGGCAGCAGUAGGGAAUCUUCGGCAAUGGACGGAAGUCUGACCGAGCAGCGCCGCGUGAGUGAAGAAGGUUUUCGGAUCGUAAAGCUCUGUUGUAAGAGAAGAACGAGUGUGAGAGUGGAAAGUUCACACUGUGACGGUAUCUUACCAGAAAGGGACGGCUAACUACGUGCCAGCAGCCGCGGUAAUACGUAGGUCCCGAGCGUUGUCCGGAUUUAUUGGGCGUAAAGCGAGCGCAGGCGGUUAGAUAAGUCUGAAGUUAAAGGCUGUGGCUUAACCAUAGUACGCUUUGGAAACUGUUUAACUUGAGUGCAAGAGGGGAGAGUGGAAUUCCAUGUGUAGCGGUGAAAUGCGUAGAUAUAUGGAGGAACACCGGUGGCGAAAGCGGCUCUCUGGCUUGUAACUGACGCUGAGGCUCGAAAGCGUGGGGAGCAAACAGGAUUAGAUACCCUGGUAGUCCACGCCGUAAACGAUGAGUGCUAGGUGUUAGACCCUUUCCGGGGUUUAGUGCCGCAGCUAACGCAUUAAGCACUCCGCCUGGGGAGUACGACCGCAAGGUUGAAACUCAAAGGAAUUGACGGGGGCCCGCACAAG
rnacentral:rRNA from 1 species